rnacentral:lncRNA from 1 species
ACAAACACACAAUUCGUGUGUGUUCUCGAACGUACAGGGGUUUCAAGAAGCCAAGCCCUAGUUCUUCAAAAAGCUUCAAAUUAAGGGACGAUUAAAGGCUCAAAUUCGUGAAUUCUCAUGGAUUAAUGAUCACCAUCACAAGGGGAUCAUAAGGUAUGUCUCGAUUCUCAGUUUUGGAGAACAACCGUGAAGUGGGAACGUGUCAAGGAGAGCUCAAGCAUAGGAGGAUAACGGGUCAAGAUAAGGCAAGGUCACAAAUACACUUAUUGGAGCACUCAAGGUAAGUGAUUUCUAUAAUCACUUCUUAUUUUAUUUAAGUAAAGUAGCGUUAGUUGAUUAAGCAUGAUGGGACCGAAUGGGACAAUAUAAAGUUGUAAUGCUAUGACGAAUAAUGUCUAUGUAAUGGCUACGGUAUGUAACCGGGUAAUGGGUAAAAUUGCACAUAAGUGCA